rnacentral:rRNA from 1 species
CCAGACUCCUACGGGAGGCAGCAGUGGGGAAUAUUGCACAAUGGGGGGAACCCUGAUGCAGCGACGCCGCGUGGGUGAAGGAGCACCUCGGUGCGUAAAGCCCUAUCGGCAGGGAAGAAACAGACGGUACCUGACUAAGAAGCCCUGGCUAACUACGUGCCAGCAGCCGCGGUAAUACGUAGGGGGCAAGCGUUAUCCGGAUUCACUGGGUGUAAAGGGAGCGUAGACGGCCAUGCAAGCCUGGAGUGAAAGCCCGGGGCCCAACCCCGGGACUGCUCUGGGAACUGUGCGGCUGGAGUGCGGGAGGGGCAGGCGGAAUUCCUGGUGUAGCGGUGAAAUGCGUAGAUAUCAGGAGGAGCACCGGCGGCGAAGGCGGCCUGCUGGACCGCGACUGACGUUGAGGCUCGAAAGCGUGGGGAGCAAACAGGAUUAGAUACCCUGGUA